rnacentral:piRNA from 1 species
CCCGGACGUCAGAUGGUGCCGGCU